GACGUAGGGAGCAAGCGUUGUCCGGAUUUACUGGGUGUAAAGGGUGCGUAGGCGGCUCUGCAAGUCAGGUGUGAAAACUAUGGGCUUAACCCAUAGACUGCAUUUGAAACUGCGGAGCUUGAGUGAAGUAGAGGCAGGCGGAAUUCCCGGUGUAGCGGUGAAAUGCGUAGAGAUCGGGAGGAACACCAGUGGCGAAGGCGGCCUGCUGGGCUUUAACUGACGCUGAGGCACGAAAGCAUGGGUAGCAAACAGG
rnacentral:rRNA from 1 species